GACGUAGGGCGCGAGCGUUGUCCGGAUUUAUUGGGCGUAAAGAGCUCGUAGGCGGCUCGUUGCGUCGGCUGUGAAAACCCGCAGCUCAACUGUGGGCUUGCAGCUGAUACGGGCGGGCUGGGAUUCGGUAGGGGAGACUGGAAUUCCUGGUGUAGCGGUGAAAUGCGCAGAUAUCAGGAGGAACCCCGGUGGCGAAGGCGGGUCUCUGGGCCGAUAUCGACGCUGAGGAGCGAAAGCGUGGGGAGCGAACAGG
rnacentral:rRNA from 1 species